GUUGUUUUCCUUCAGUGUGAGGCAGCUUUUAAAAGGUCCCGGGGAGAUGCUUUACCUUUACAUGCCCAUCUCCUGGGAUUUUUAAGAUAAACAUGCCCACUUUUUGCUGUUGCUGUCUCUCAGCUUCUUCAGAAGAGAAAACAAGACAUUUGAAUAUUUUCCUAUUCCAUGUUUCUGUCAAAGCCUGGUCCCAGCCAUUCAGUGGGAAGGGAGCCAAGAGCUCAUGCUGAAGAGGUGACUGCUCCUCUGCUCUCCGGCCCCAAAUGGCACCGCUAAGAAACUUCUGAGAAUCUCUCCUUCCUCUCGUCAAGUUUUGAUUUCAGCACAUCAGCAUUUCUGAUCGAGGGGGGGGGGAAAAAAGGAAAGCAUACAAAUCCCAAACAAUGCAUUUCUUGGAAAACUCCCAGCUGUACAACCAGGUAAUGUACCGGGCAUUGAGGAGAGCUGCCUUCGGUGCAAGACCUGGGGGAGUCGCUCAGGGUAAGAGUCAAAAAACUCCACGUUCCAAGUCGGCUUAAGCGUCCUCAUCUCCAUAAAGGUGAAUGGUUACCUGCCUCCCUCCCUCAGACUGCCAACAAACCCAGUUUGGAAAUGACUGAUGAGGGCAGCCAGCGGUAACAGAAGAACUCCCACAGGCCAAGGAAGGGUUGUAGCUGAUCACAGCAUGCAAACCAGCUUCCCAUGCUCAUUUCAACCAAGUCUCACUCUCCUCCCUGUCUCCAUGUCUUUGGUUGAUUUAUUCUGUGGCUCUCUCUUACAUGCCUUUGGGUUUUUAAUUUCCCCAGGGAUCUUCAGCAAAGAGGGGACUCUGGCUCUGACACUGGUAAAUGUAUGUGCCAUCAGUGCCUGCUUCUCAGACAGCGCUGAGACGUUCGACAAGCAGCACAGCAGCCACCCUGCGAACACUCUUCAUCUCUCUGCCAUGAUGAAGGCUGCCCAAAAGCUGAGAGAGGCGUCUGGCUGUGCUCCCACUGCCAGCCUUACAGCCUUCAUGGAGACGAUGCAGCAGGAGUGGGUGAGCAGGCACAGGGUAAGAACAAAGUGAUGCCAACAUUAAGAUAAUCAGGAGCAUUCUUAUAGAUAUCCUGUAUAUCUUGUAGCUGCCUGUACCACAGCACCUGUGCCUGGAGAUUGCUCAGAGCAUG
ensembl:lncRNA